rnacentral:rRNA from 1 species
UACGGGGGGAGCAAGCGUUGUCCGGAUUCAUUGGGCGUAAAGAGCGCGCAGGCGGUCGAUCAAGUCGAGUGUGAAAGCCCCCGGCUCAACUGGGGAGGGUCAUUCGAUACUGAUCGACUCGAAGGCAGGAGAGGGUAGUGGAAUUCCCGGUGUAGUGGUGAAAUGCGUAGAUAUCGGGAGGAACACCAGUGGCGAAGGCGACUACCUGGCCUGUUCUUGACGCUGAGGCGCGAAAGCUAGGGGAGCAAACGGG